rnacentral:rRNA from 1 species
AGAGUUUGAUCAUGGCUCAGAUUGAACGCUGGCGGCAGGCUUAACACAUGCAAGUCGAGCGGUAACAGGAGAGAGCUUGCUUUCUCGCUGACGAGCGGCGGACGGGUGAGUAAUGCCUGGGAAAUUGCCCUGAUGUGGGGGAUAACCAUUGGAAACGAUGGCUAAUACCGCAUAGAAGCUACGGCUUAAAGAGGGGGACCUUCGGGCCUCUCGCGUCAGGAUAUGCCCAGGUGGGAUUAGCUAGUUGGUGGGGUAAAGGCUCACCAAGGCAACGAUCUCUAGCUGGUCUGAGAGGAUGAUCAGCCACACUGGAACUGAGACACGGUCCAGACUCCUACGGGAGGCAGCAGUGGGGAAUAUUGCACAAUGGGCGCAAGCCUGAUGCAGCCAUGCCGCGUGUAUGAAGAAGGCCUUCGGGUUGUAAAGUACUUUCAGUGGUGAGGAAGGUUAUGUAUUUAAUAGAUGCGUAGCUUGACGUUAGCCACAGAAGAAGCACCGGCUAACUCCGUGCCAGCAGCCGCGGUAAUACGGAUGGUGCGAGCGUUAAUCGGAAUUACUGGGCGUAAAGCGCAUGCAGGUGGUCUGUUAAGUCAGAUGUGAAAGCCCGGGGCUUAACCUCGGAAUAGCAUUUGAAACUGUCAGACUAGAGUACUGUAGAGGGGGGUAGAAUUUCAGGUGUAGCGGUGAAAUGCGUAGAGAUCUGAAGGAAUACCGGUGGCGAAGGCGGCCCCCUGGACAGAUACUGACACUCAGAUGCGAAAGCGUGGGAGCAAACAGGAUUAGAUACCCUGGUAGUCCACGCCGUAAACGAUGUCUACUUGGAGGUUGUGGCCUUGAGCCGUGGCUUUCGGAGCUAACGCGUUAAGUAGACCGCCUGGGGAGUACGGUCGCAAGAUUAAAACUCAAAUGAAUUGACGGGGGCCCGCACAAGCGGUGGAGCAUGUGGUUUAAUUCGAUGCAACGCGAAGAACCUUACCUACUCUUGACAUCUACAGAAGCUUGCGGAGACGCGAGUGUGCCUUCGGGUACUGUAAGACAGGUGCUGCAUGGCUGUCGUCAGCUCGUGUUGUGAAAUGUUGGGUUAAGUCCCGCAACGAGCGCAACCCUUAUCCUUGUUUGCCAGCACGUAAUGGUGGGAACUCCAGGGAGACUGCCGGUGAUAAACCGGAGGAAGGUGGGGACGACGUCAAGUCAUCAUGGCCCUUACGAGUAGGGCUACACACGUGCUACAA